CGCAAGCCUGAUGCAGCCAUGCCGCGUGUAUGAAGAAGGCCUUCGGGUUGUAAAGUACUUUCAGCAGUGAGGAAGGUGGGUAUGUUAAUAGCAUAUUCAUUUGACGUUAGCUGCAGAAGAAGCACCGGCUAACUCCGUGCCAGCAGCCGCGGUAAUACGGAGGGUGCGAGCGUUAAUCGGAAUUACUGGGCGUAAAGCGCAUGCAGGUGGUUUGUUAAGUCAGAUGUGAAAGCCCGGGGCUCAACCUCGGAAUUGCAUUUGAAACUGGCAAACUAGAGUACUGUAGAGGGGGUAGAAUUUCAGGUGUAGCGGUGAAAUGCGUAGAGAUCUGAAGGAAUACCGGUGGCGAAGGCGGCCCCCUGGACAGAUACUGACACUCAGAUGCGAAAGCGUGGGGAGCAAACAGGAUUAGAUACCCGGUAG
rnacentral:rRNA from 1 species